GUGAAGCGGCAACAGCUCAAAUUUGAAAUCUGGCCUCGGCCCGAGUUGUAAUUUGCAGAGGAAGCUUUAGGCGCGGCACCAUCUGAGUCCCCUGGAACGGGGCGCCAUAGAGGGUGAGAGCCCCGUAUAGAUGGACGCCUAGCCUGUGUAAAGCUCCUUCGACGAGUCGAGUAGUUUGGGAAUGCUGCUCAAAAUGGGAGGUAAAUUUCUUCUAAAGCUAAAUACCGGCCAGAGACCGAUAGCGCACAAGUAGAGUGAUCGAAAGAUGAAAAGCACUUUGAAAAGAGGGUUAAAUAGCACGUGAAAUUGUUGAAAGGGAAGCGCUUGUGACCAGACUUGCGCCGGGCGGAUCAUCCGGUGUUCUCACCGGUGCACUCCGCCCGGCUCAGGCCAGCAUCGGUUCUCGCGGGGGGAUAAAGGCCCUGGGAACGUAGCUCCUCCGGGAGUGUUAUAGCCCAGGGCGCAAUGCCCUCGCGGGGACCGAGGUUCGCGCAUCUGCAAGGAUGCUGGCGUAAUGGUCAUCAGCGACCCGUCUUGAAACACGGACCAAGGAGUCAAGGUUUUGCGCGAGUGUUUGGGUGUAAAACCCGCACGCGUAAUGAAAGUGAACGUAGGUGAGAGCUUCGGCGCAUCAUCGACCGAUCCUGAUGUUUUCGGAUGGAUUUGAGUAGGAGCGUUAAGCCUUGGACCCGAAAGAUGGUGAACUAUGCUUGGAUAGGGUGAAGCCAGAGGAAACUCUGGUGGAGGCUCGCAGCGGUUCUGACGUGCAAAUCGAUCGUCAAAUCUGAGCAUGGGG
rnacentral:rRNA from 2 species